UAGUCCACGCCCUAAACGAUGCACACUAGUUGUUGCAAUGCUAGAUAUUGCAGUAAUGCAGUUAACACAGUAAGUGUGCCGCCUGGGGAGUACGGUCGCAAGAUUAAAACUCAAAGGAAUAGACGGGGACCCGCACAAGCGGUGGAGCAUGUGGUUUAAUUCGACGAUACGCGAAGAACCUUACCUGGCCUUGACAUAGUUAGAAUAUAGCAGAGAUGUAAUAGUGCUAGUUUACUAGAGCUAACAUACAGGUGCUGCACGGCUGUCGUCAGCUCGUGUCGUGAGAUGUUGGGUUAAGUCCCGCAACGAGCGCAACCCACGUCGUUAGUUACUAACAGUUCGGCUGAGGACUCUAAAGAGACUGCCGGUGACAAACCGGAGGAAGGUAAGGAUGACGUCAAGUCAGCAUGCCCCUUAUGCUCUGGGCUACACACGUGCUACAAUGGCCGUGACAAAGAGUUGCUACUUUGUGAAAACAAGCUAAUCUCAUAAACGC
rnacentral:rRNA from 1 species